UACGUAGGGUGCGAGCGUUAAUCGGAAUUACUGGGCGUAAAGCGUGCGCAGGCGGUUUUGUAAGCCAGAUGUGAAAUCCCCGGGCUUAACCUGGGAAUGGCAUUUGGGACUGCAAGGCUUGAGUGCGGCAGAGGAGACUGGAAUUCCUGGUGUAGCAGUGAAAUGCGUAGAUAUGUGGAGGAACACCGAUGGCGAAGGCAGCCUCCUGGGCCAGCACUGACGCUCAUGCACGAAAGCGUGGGGAGCAAACAGG
rnacentral:rRNA from 1 species